rnacentral:rRNA from 1 species
CCUACGGGUGGCUGCAGUAGGGAAUUUUCGUCAAUGGGCGCAAGCCUGAACGAGCAAUGCCGCGUGAACGAGGAAGGUCUUCGGAUUGUAAAGCUCUGUUGACGGGGAAAAAGAGCGGAGAGAGGAUAUGCUUUCUGAUUGAUAUUACCCUUCGAGGAAGUCACGGCUAACUACGUGCCCGCAGCCGCGGUAAUACGUAGGUGGCGUGCGUUAUCCGGAAUGGUUGGGCGUAAAGGGUGCGUAGGCGGCCUGCUAAGUCUGGAGUGAAAGGUACCGGCUCAACCGGUACAGGCUCUGGAAACUGGCGGGCUAGAGAGGAGGAGAGGGCGGUGGAACUCGAUGGGUAGCGGUAAAAUGCGUAGAUAUAUGGAAGAACAUCAGAGGCGAAGGCGGCCGCCUGGCCUGUUAACUGACGCUGAGGCACGAAAGCGUGGGGAGCAAAUAGGAUUAGAUACCCCUGUAGUC